AACGCACAUUGCGCCCCUUGGUAUUCCAUGGGGCAUGCCUGUUCGAGCGUCAUUUGUACCCUCAAGCUCUGCUUGGUGUUGGGUGUUUGUCUACUACCGUAGACCUCGCCUUAAAGUAAUUGGCAGCCAGUGUUUUGGUAUUGAAGCGCAGCACAUUUUGCGCCUCUAGCCUAGAAUACUCGCGUCCAGUAAGUCUUUUCCACUUUUGACCUCGGAUCAGGUAGGGAUACCCGCUGAACUUAA
rnacentral:misc_RNA from 1 species